rfam:Ixodes scapularis strain Wikel colony gcontig_1108379133284, whole genome shotgun sequence.
CCCUGGUUAGCUCAGUCGGUAGAACGUCCCACCGGAAAUGGAGAAGUCCCUGGUUCGAUACCAGGACCAAGCG